rnacentral:rRNA from 1 species
GACGAACGCUGGCGGCGUGCUUAACACAUGCAAGUCGAACGGAAAGGCCUCUUUCGGGGGGUACUCGAGUGGCGAACGGGUGAGUAACACGUGAGUAACCUGCCCUUGACUUUGGGAUAACUUCAGGAAACUGGGGCUAAUACCGGAUAGGAGCUCCUGCUGCAUGGUGGGGGUUGGAAAGUUUCGGCGGUUGGGGAUGGACUCGCGGCUUAUCAGCUUGUUGGUGGGGUAGUGGCUUACCAAGGCUUUGACGGGUAGCCGGCCUGAGAGGGUGACCGGCCACAUUGGGACUGAGAGACGGCCCAGACUCCUACGGGAGGCAGCAGUGGGGAAUAUUGCACAAUGGGUGGAAGCCUGAUGCAGCAACGCCGUGUGCGGGAGGACGGCCUUCGGGUUGUAAACCGCUUUCGCUCAUGACGAAGCUUUGUGUGACGGUAGUGGGUAAAGAAGCACCGGCUAACUACGUG